rnacentral:rRNA from 1 species
CCUACGGGGGGCAGCAGUGGGGAAUAUUGGACAAUGGGCGCAAGCCUGAUCCAGCAAUGCCGCGUGAGUGAUGAAGGCCUUCGGGUUGUAAAGCUCUUUCACCCGCGACGAUGAUGACGGUAGCGGGAGAAGAAGCCCCGGCUAACUUCGUGCCAGCAGCCGCGGUAAUACGAAGGGGGCGAGCGUUGUUCGGAAUUACUGGGCGUAAAGGGCGCGUAGGCGGCCGGCCGCGUCAGGCGUGAAAGCCCCGGGCUCAACCCGGGAACGGCGCUUGAGACGGGUCGGCUCGAGGACGGGAGAGGUGAGCGGAAUUCCCAGUGUAGAGGUGAAAUUCGUAGAUAUUGGGAAGAACACCGGUGGCGAAGGCGGCUCACUGGCCCGUACCUGACGCUGAGGCGCGACAGCGUGGGGAGCAAACAGGAUUAGAUACCCCAGUAGUC